GGAGAUUCCAAGGAUUUUAGGAGUUGUAUGCGAGGAAAUAGGGACAAAGACCAAAUCUGUAUUUGAGAAAAUCACAGAACCGUAUGAGCAUUUAAUUCAAUACAGACAUGGAAACUGGCCGAAGCAUUUACUCACAGAUGACUGGGCAAAUCCCUGGUCCUACUGGUACAAACUAUUGAUCAAGCCCCCAAUCUCAUUCCUACCCUAAAAUACAGCAAAGCAAAAGAUCUUAUUACCUAUUUGGACUGAGAUUAACACCAUCCCAUAAACUGCAUGGCUUUCAAUCCCAGGGCUACGGUGUGUGAUGCCACAUAGAAUAUGCACUAAUCUCUCCAGCAAUUGAGUUGUUAGGGUAAAGGCUCUUUUUGCCUUCUUUCUCUCACGGCCAAGAAAAUUAAGGAACAUGGACACAAAGGAUGAGGUCGGAGCGGACGUUUAAUAAGCAAAAGAAGAAAGCUCUGUCCAGCGGAGGGGACCCGAAAGAGGGCUGCCAACUAGGAGGCUGAAUCUGGGGCUUUUAUGAACUGGAAAGGGGAGGAAUCUGCUGACUGGUCGGUCUGUGGGCUGUCUGGGAGAAAGCACUACUCAACUUGGCCCUGGAACCUUAGCCCAGGACCAAUCAGGGGCUGAAGUGAAAGUUUGGCGCAGGACCAAUCAGGGGCUGAAGUGAAAGUUUGGCGCAGGACCAAUCAGGGGCUGAAGUGAAAGUUUGGCCCAGGACCAAUCAGGGGCUGAAGUGAAAGCUUGGCUCGGAACCAAUCAGGGACUGAAGUUAUGAUUCAAAGAGGCUGGGCUCAGUCUAAAGCAUAUCCAAAAAAGGAAGUGGCCGCCGGAACCUGUUAGUCCAAGCUGCACCAUUUUGUAAGCCCCCACCAUUUCACAGAUCCUGGUCAGAGGGAAACAUUCCAUUGUGGUUUGGGCUGUGAAAAACAUCCUUCCCAACCGCCUGACUUCCUUAUCACAUCCUGCUGGGCAAAGGCCCAAGAAACAUCCUUAUAAACAUUCUCCCAGGCAACAAGCCAUACCGCCCAGACCCCUCCUGCUCAGGCCUGUAGUUACCCCAGCCAGUGAGCGGCAGUGGGCUCUGGGAUUUAGUUGGUCCCCGCCAUAGAGCCGCCAACUCUCUCUUUCUUUAACCCUCACCUUCCCUUCAAAAUCUAACACCCCACCGUGUACAUGCCCACAAAAGAAGCGACUAUUUCCUGGAAGCCCGCUGGUCACACAAAGGACAAAGGCGUUUCUAUGUUGGGCCUCGGUCCCUUAUCAGCGCAGCUGAGGAAUGUCUUUAGAACAACCCCCUGUGCGAGUUUUCCUUAUCUGUGCCUGCAGCCUGAUUUUUCUGGCUGUUUCUCUGUUUAAAGGAGUUUUAUCAAGGACCCACUCUAACUGCCUAACGGGUUUUUUUCUCUCAAGGGGACACACAAAGCCCCAAUCGCACACACACCUCCCUAUAUCCACUUCCCCACUGCCUCACAGCCAAUCGCACUUUCCUCUCUCACACACACCAAGGGGCCUCACACACACCAAGGGGUCUCUCACACACACCAAGGGGCCACACAAAUUGCACCUGCACAGCCACAGACCUGCAACUCACGCACACACGGUACAGCACACACAGGUAAAGUCAAACACCCACCCCGGGACACGCAGUCCAACCACCCAGUCACCGGUUCUCCACAUCCGCACGCGCCACAAGGCUCGUUCGGGACACACAUCCACUCCGGGCGCGCACAGUCACAAGCGCCCACCUGAUCACCCAGAGUCAGCACCACACAGCCACAGUCACAGACUACGAAGACCCGCGGCAACCAUGGCGAUCACACACGCAAAAUCUUCUCCUCAGCCCUCCACACACAAAAUGACCGGAGCCGGAUUCCUCACCCUCAGCUUUCCGCGGCAGCUAAUUCGGCACAGCAAACGGUCCCGCCACCUGGCUAAGAGGAAGCCGAAAUCUCGCGAGACGUGGUGUUGGCCUGCGGGAUCCUCUGGGAAAUGUAGUCCAGAGCCCUACUGCGGGCUUCCCUACACCUCUCAUCGCCAAGCCGGGCUUGUUUCCAUUUACCGCUCCUCUGCACCGAGGAUCGCAGAGCCCUCAUGCCGAGCGGCUCGCUAUGGGGCUGGCUCGCCCGCUAGACUGGCCAGGCCUGAUUAUCCCUGGCAGCUCUGUUAUCUGGGGUACGACGCAGGAAAACAUGCUUCCGGUUCUCGGCGGAAGGAGCUGCAAGCGGUAGAACCGAUGGGAAAUGUAGUCCGGGGCAGAGACACGGUCAACCCAGCCACGAUGCGAGCCAAAGCAUUCUUAGCUCCAAGCCUGGUCCUGGCUGUUAGUUUGGAACUCACAUACCCAGAUGCAAACUCGCCCUCAGAAUGCAGAGGGGAUGAAACACUGAGUGGACAGUUCAAUCUGUAUAUGGGUGAGUCCAGGGCUUAGUCUGCAUUGCGCUGAAAAUGAAGGUGAAGGUGGAGAUGGGACCUGAUAGUCUCGUCCCGGAUCGGGUUGAAGAAGCGGAAGGAAAGGAAUCAAAAUCGUGGAUGGGAUGAGAUUGUGCGCGGAUGCUCUCUGGGAGCGGUUCGUGGGCGACGAGGGCCCGAAGAUGCUGCCUUGUGAUCGCAGGUGUGAGUGGAAGCUGUGAGAUAAACUGGAGGGGAAGACGAACGGCAGGAGGGUGAAGAGGAAGCUGAAUGACCGUGCAAACACCCCCAACUCAAAUACGGGUGGUUACCGCAGAGUGAAUAACGAUAGGUACGAUUUCGUGGAAGGCAACGUCCUUUGAAAGGGCUCCCAGAGCUUCAAGGCCCCCUCCCCUGAUGAACGAGUAAGUCAGGCAGGCCCAGCUCCACUUCACGGAUGGCAAAACUGAGGUACGAGGGGGCGAGAUGACUGGCCCGAGGCCUCGCUGAAAGAUCGGAGGCGGAGCGGAGAACCAGAAGCACCGCUUCCCUCAGGCUGAUGCUCUAAUCUCGGCUCCCCCCGCCCCUACGUUGGCGUAGACGGCCUCCGCCCCCCGACUCACACACACACCCUCCCCCGGGAACGGCAAGUCUCCUCGGGUUCCAAGGACGCGGUCAAACGACCAGAGGCCCCAGGCGCUCUCGCGGUGAUUUGCGCAGAGCGUUGGGAGCGUGCGUGCCUCCAGUCCAACAUGGCGGCGGCAGAGGCCGGCCCAGCGCUCCAGACUUCCUUCGGGGCCGGAGGCUUCUCCUCAGGGUCCUCGGGUACGUGGGAAGACAGUGCAGCCCCGCCAGGCCUUUCUUGUCGCUGCCGCUGCUCACUGAAGGAGUCACCUACCCGACAAGACUAACGGCUGUGGCUGCGGCGCGGAGGCCCCACAGCCCGCCGAGAACCAGGAAUACGAGAGCCAGGCGGCGCCGCGGCCGGAGCUGUACUGAGCAAGAAAGAAGAUUUCAAAGUAAUUUAUUGUUAUGAGAUCCGUGCUUUUAUCUUGUCUCAGACUCCCAAUGAUAGGCACAUACUCUCCUCUGUACAUUUAAUGAAACUACUAAAAUGUUUCGAUUUAAAUCUUCCACCUAUUUGUUUUCUGUGUAUCCUACCUGUUCACGACCUUGACAUUUUCAAAGAAUACAGGUUACUUAUUUUGUUUUUGGUGAUGGUGAGUUUUCGGGGGUUUUGUUUUUUGGUUUUAGUUUUGGAGACAGGGCUUUGCUCUAUCGCCCAGGCUGGAAUACAAUGGCGCGAUGAUAGCUCACUGCAGCCUCGAACUCCUGAGCUCAAGGGACCCUCUUGCUUCAGCCUCCUGAGUAGCUGGGACUACAGGCCUGCGCCAUCACGCCUGGCUAAUUUUUUAUUUUUUGUAGAGAUGGGGUGUUGCUAUGUUGCCCAGUGUGGUCUCAAACUCUUGGGCUCAAGAGAUCCACCCACUUCUGCUGCCCCAAGUGCUAGGAGUACAGGCACGAGCCACCGCGCCGGGACAGUUAUUUUGUAGAGUGUUCUUUAAUUUGGAUGUACCUCAUCUUUUAUACAUCUUUGGAAGGAAUACCAUAUAAUUAAUGCGGUUUAUCCCAUCAGGAGACACACAGUGUCAAUGUGUUCCAUUUUUGAUGAUGUUAACUUUUAUUACUUAGUGAAGAUAAUUCUAAGAGUUUUCACCACUGUAGGGUGAAUAAAUUAGCAUUUGGGAUUCAUCAAUGAAUAAGUAAAAAGAAGCCAGCUGGCGAAAGAACUGAGUUGGGAGGAUGGCUUGAGCCUGGGAGGUCGAGGUUGCAGUGAGCUGUGAUGGCACCACUGCAUUCCAGCCUGGGUGACACCACAAGACCCUGUCUCAAAAAAAAUUAAAUAAAUAAAUAGAUACCCAGCACCUGAUCAUCUCGGGAAUUUCCUGUGCCUCUUUCUUAUAUUGGGUCACUGGUUUCUUGGAGCUUAUGUCUUUUUUUUUUUUUUUUUUUUUCUUGGUUUAGCUUCUCAUUUUUGUAAAAAGCACAUUCUUAUUUUGUUUACUUUGAUAAAAGUGAAUUUGGGAUAAAAGUCUGGGAUCCUUA